rnacentral:rRNA from 1 species
AUACGGGGGGGUGCAAGCGUUGUUCGGAAUUAUUGGGCGUAAAGCGCGUGUAGGCGGUUUGUUAAGUCUGAUGUGAAAGCCCUGGGCUCAACCCAGGAAGUGCAUUGGAAACUGGCAGACUUGAAUACGGGAGAGGGUAGUGGAAUUCCUGGUGUAGGAGUGAAAUCCGUAGAUAUCAGGAGGAACACCGGUGGCGAAGGCGGCUACCUGGACCGAUAUUGACGCUGAAACGCGAAAGCGUGGGUAGC